rnacentral:rRNA from 1 species
AGGAAGGUAGUGUAGUUAACACCUGCAUUAUUUGACGUUACCUACAGAAGAAGCACCGGCUAACUCCGUGCCAGCAGCCGCGGUAAUACGGAGGGGUGCGAGCGUUAAUCGGAAUUACUGGGCGUAAAGCGCAUGCAGGCGGCCUGUUAAGUCAGAUGUGAAAGCCCCGGGGCUUAACCCUCGGAAUUGCAUUUUGAAACUGGCAGGCUAGAGUCUUGUAGAGGGGGGUAGAAUUUCAGGUGUAGCGGUGAAAUGCGUAGAGAUCUGAAGGAAUACCAGUGGCGAAGGCCGGCCCCCCUGGACAAAGACUGACGCUCAGAUGACGAAAGCGGUGGGGGAGACAAACAGGAUUAGACUACCCUGGUAG